UUCUAAUAAACAUGCGUAUAAUACACGGUUCAUUACAAUCCCAUAAUGUAACUGGAAACUAAUGAAAGUGUAGACCUAUUAGACUGGUUAAACUUUUAUUUAUUUUAUUGUAAAUUUCUGAAAAUCUGCAAAAACAUUCCUUAUGCUAAACAUGGUUUAUGAACAUCUGUGUAUGUUGCGUUUUUAAAACAUAAAAAGUUUAAUUUAUUUUGUGUGUGCAAAUAAUCUAAAACCAAAACAUACGAACCUUGCACUUGAUUACUUCCUACAUUCUUUGUGUGAGCUCUGGACUCCUAUGUGUAUAACAUUGUAGGAUUGUACAUAUGGGAUAAUGGGUAAGUACCGUGUUUCCCCGAAAAUAAACCCUAGUCGGAUUUUCGGGGUGGGCUGCAAUAUAAGCCCUACCCCGAAAAUAAGACCUAGGCAUUGUACCUUUGCGGCGAGACUUCCUUCUUCUGCUGUAGGAGGAGCGUCGCGCAACGUGAUGACGACAUUUUGCAGCGCCGUCAGUCUGCCUUCACGGAUUUUC